rnacentral:lncRNA from 1 species
GGUGAAGGCAGAGGGUGCAGAGGAUUUAGCAAAGCAGAACGGUGAGGCAGAGGCCACUGAGGCGGUAGCUGACGAGGCAGAGUUAGAAGAUGACGAGGAUGAUGAUGUUGCGGACGAGCCAGACAUAGAAGAGGAAGAGGGUGCAGAGGCGCUGCUGGCGCCGGCGGCGGAGCAGACGGAGCAGUUCAACGAGCAGCUAAAGGACCGGCUGAAGGGGAACGUGGACCGGUUCGAGGAGAUGGUGCAGCACGAGGAGGAGAUCCGGCUUGGGGACGAGGGC